UCAAGACAUUUGGUACACAGGCCAGGUACCCAGGCCAUUGAUUCUACCAACGUGUGCGAUUUCGAAAUGUUUUCCACUUUUAGUUUCUGUCAACGCGAAAAAAACAGAACUGAUGUGGAUACAAAGCGUUUUGACGAGGUUUUCCAACUGUGUGACGUGGACAAGAAAGGUUACUUGAGCGGAGAGGACAUGAAGCUGGCGGUUGUCAUGCUUUUUGGAUAUAAGCCAUCAAAGUCAGAAACUAUUAACUUAAUGGCCAACUACACAUCGACAGGGGUCCCUCUGGAGCAGUUUGUGCCUCUCAUGGGGAAGAAGUUGUCUGUGGAGUAUCGCAAUGAGAAGACGAGGCGGAUCUUCAAUGCGUUUGAUGCUCAGUGUCGUGGCUUCCUGAAACUGGAGGACUUCAAGCGUGCGUUCAACCUCGUGGCACCACGACUGCCAGAGAGGACGGUGCUGGAGGCUUUUCGACAUGUGGACAAGGACGCGGACGGCUUUGUGAGCUUCAAGGACUUUGAAAAUGUCAUCAGCUACGGGCAGGCGAACAGCUGAGGCGUUCCGGGCCUCCCUCUGAGCCAGCUGUGGCGGCAGCGGCCAUCACGCCACAACGGCCACCGCCAGCAACUAGGGGGAAAGCUCUGAUGUCUCCAUCCCUGUAACCUGUCUGUUGUUGAUCUAUUGUCCCGCCGGGUGCUGGUAGCAGCUAUCCCCUCUACAGGUUGUUUUCCCAGGAGCACUCUGCCCGUAUAUACGGGGGGGACCUUUGUGUGCCUGCUGGUCGCCACUUCAAACCCAUUAAGCGGCACGGUGAAGCCUGAUGUCUUUUAAUCCCCAGGACUAAAUCCACUUCCGCAGGAGAAAUGAACUGGCAGCUCACUGCAACAGAAAAAAUUGAAUGUGAACAAUAGUAAUCAGAUUAAGCCUUUUAAUCAGUUUCUUUAGGUGAAAAAACAGGCAGGUAUGGAUGCAUACUGAACAGCCCGUGAAACUUGGAAUUCUGGAGGAUUCUCUGUGGUUUCUUCUUGUUACACACGAUUACGGAACAGUAAAUACUUGUUUGUGUUUUGAGAGAUUUGCUGCACUCCCGUCGGAAUAAAGAUUAAUGUUUUUGUAAUCAGUCUUGAGUCCUCAUCUGAAUGACGCACGC